CUUCCCUCGUCGCUCCAAGCCGCCCGCUCCUCUCCUCAAUGACGCAAUAGGCAACAACUCCUCUUGACGGCGACGCCCAAAUCCCAUCGCCUCCAAUCCUGUCUACAGACGGCCCACAGCUCAAUGGGCUGAGGGACUGCAGGAAGUCCUGCGCUCGGCAGGGCUCUCGUCGCCUCGUCGGCGUUGCCCUCAGGCCAUUCAAAUGCAAGCACCCACUGUGAGUUACCUCAGGAUGAAGACCUUCUGCUCACAGUGCAAGCACCGAGUGGGACGCACAGUGCACAGCUUUACCAAAUCAAUCCCCAAACUCCUCCCUCUUCCCUCGAUUUCUCCGGCUCCUUCCUCACUCACCACGCCCCGCCUCCUCCUCCCUCCUCACCAUGCCGGCUCUCCCCUGCUCCCUCCAUCGGCGCCGGCUCCCCUCCUCCCUCCGCCGGCGCCGGUUCUCCUCUCCUCUGGGCCAAGCGGCGGCGUCCUCCAUGCCAUGCGGCGGCGACGGCGUUCUCGAAGAAGCGGCGGUGGGAGGACGGCGGCGCGGUGGACGGUGGCGGCGGCGGCGGUGAAGGAGGCUGGGGACGCGGCGGCGGAUCGAGAAGACCGAGGCGGUGGCUCGCGACGAGCUCGGCGUCUCGCGAGCGGCGGAAGGGAGGCGACGACAGAUCCACGGUGCUGUGAGGCUGGGGACGCGGCGGAUUGAGAAGACCAAGGCAGGAGCAGCGGAGCUCGGCGUCGACGGGCUCGAUGCGCAUGGCGUUCUUGGGAUGGGCGGUCGACAUCGCCCGCGACUCCGGCGCGUCGAGCUCCGUCGUGCUCACCUGCGACGGCUACGGCUCGGCGCUCUACUUCUCGCCGUGGGACAGUGUCCCGCUUCCGGCGACAGCUUCCCCCGACGACGGCUUCCUGCUGCCGCGUUUCCCGGACGUCUGCGUGCAGCGCUCGCAAUUCACCAACCACCUCGCGCCGGCCAACGGCACUGGCGGCGGCGGCUCAAGAACGGGCGUCAAGGAGGAAGCGAGCGAGGUGAGCACCGGGUUGGGGUGCUUGCGGCCGGUGCGCGGGCGGCCAGCGGUUCUUGGCGGCGGGAUACGUCCCCGGCUGCCUCCUCCUCUCUCCCACGCCGCCGUGCCUCGCCUCCCACGCCGCGGCGGCACACCGGGGACGCCGCCGCCGUGCGCCUCGCCUCGCCGGGGACGCCGCCGCCGUGUGUCGAUUUGUUGCCGGGCACGGGCGGCGCGAGGGCACGAGCUCCACAGUGCGAGAAAAGCAGCCGUUUCCUCACCUCGCGAGAGAAGGAUGCGCGCGGCUCAGUUUGGCGACGAGGUGCUCUCCACUGGCGCGCACCCUCCCUCCACGCAAGGCCGAGUCCUACGUGGCACCCCAUAGCACCGGUCCAGCUGUGUGCACUGUGAGAGGCCUCAAAUACUCCAAGGUGUUGUCCUGGCCACCGACUUCGAAGCAAUCUGUGCGCCGGUUGGAGGUGGCGGAGCACUGGUACCGACUCUACAAGACGGACAAUCAACGGGUACCACAAUCCGGCUCCACCUCGACGCGAUUGCGGCAACCACGAAAACCUCACGCUCCAAUCUGUGCCCUCCGCCCGUGCUCGCUGCAUCUCGUGCCACCGUCUCGGACUCUCGAUCCUCAUGGCCUGAAUUAUCCUAAUUCUUCGUUACCAGUUUUUUUGAGACUAAUAUGACUCCCAUCAAACAAUGCAGUUGAGAGUGAGUUCUUACCUGUAUUAUAUAGUACAUUGUAUUUAAACCAUAGUACAUGGGGACAGUGGUGCGUUCAUCAA